rnacentral:rRNA from 1 species
CAGUCGCCGCGGUAAUACGAAGGGGGCUAGCGUUGCUCGGAAUUACUGGGCGUAAAGGGCGCGUAGGCGGACAGUUCAGUCAGGGGUGAAAGCCCGGGGCUCAACUCCGGAAUUGCCUUUAAGACCGCAGAGCUAGCAGGUGAGAGAGGUGAGUGGAAUUCCGAGUGUAGAGGUGAAAUUCGUAGAUAUUCGGAAGAACACCAGUGGCGAAGGCGGCUCACUGGCUCAUACUGGACGCUGAGGUGCGAAAGCGUGGGGAGCAAACAGGAUUAGAUACCCCAGUAGUCCCUGUCUCUUAUAA